UACGUAGGGGGCAAGCGUUGUCCGGAAUCAUUGGGCGUAAAGCGCGUGUAGGCGGCCCGGUAAGUCCGCUGUGAAAGUCGGGGGCUCAACCCUCGGAUGCCGGUGGAGUACUGUCGGGCUAGAGUGCGGGAGAGGCGAGUGGAAUUCCGUGGUGAUAGCGGUGGAAAUGACGUAGAUAUCGGAAGGAACACCAGUGGCGAAAGCGGCUUCCUGGUCCAGCACCGACGUUCAGGCACGAAAGCGUGGGGAGCAAACAGG
rnacentral:rRNA from 1 species